rnacentral:rRNA from 1 species
AACUUAAUUUGAUAAUAGGUUCUUAUUUUAUUUAUUAGUUUGUAGAAUUUAAUAGAAAUAACUUAAUUAUUAGUAUAUUUUAUAGAAAUAAUUUUUAUUGUUAUAGUUGAUAGUACUGUGAAGGAUUGAUAUGUUUUAGUUUAUAAGUAGUUUUAAUUUAAUGUACCUUUUGUAUCAGGGUUAAUUAAUUUAUCAUAUUUAUUGUGGAUUUCCCGAAAUUGAAAGGUCUAUAAUUUAAAUGUUAGUUAAUGUGUCAAAAUUAUUGAUUAUUUAAUUAUAGUAAUGAAAUGUUAUUCGUUUUCAGAUAUCUGGUUUUCUUGGAAUUAAAUUUAAUUUAGGAUCUUUAUAUUAUAAGGGAUAAUUUUAUUUUUCUUAUUUUUAAGUUCUAAUAUUUUCGGGGAUAAGCUCGGAAUUAAUUAUAUAAGUAGGUAUGGGUUAUUGGAAUUUAGUAGGCUUGAAAUCAGCCAUCAGUUAUUUCGUUAUAGAAUACUUUCUAAUUGUAUUUAUUUAAUUUUCUUUAUUUUUUUACUUGAAUGAUUUAAUUAAUUGGGAUUUUAAUGUUAUAAUGAUUAAAUUAGUAUUUUAUUUAAUUAAAUUAUAGGAACUCGGCAAAUUUAGUGUUCGCCUGUUUAACAAAAACAUGUCCUUUUGUUWAUUUAUUUAAGGUCUGACCUGCCCAAUGAGGAAUUCAAUGGCCGCAGUAUUUUAACUGUGCUAAGGUAGCAUAAUCAUUUGUCUUUUAAUUGAGGGCUGGAAUGAAAGGUUGGACGAGAUAUUAGCUUUCUUUAGUUUAAUUUUAAGAAUUUAAUUUUUGAGUUAAAAAGCUUAAAUUUAUUUGUUGGACGAGAAGACCCUAUAGAUCUUUAUAAUUUUAUAUUUUGAUAAUUUAGUGAUUUUAUUUAUUGUAAGUAGAGGAAUUAUUUUGUUGGGGUGACUGUAGAAUUUUAUUAACUUCUAUUAUUUUUAUUUCAUUGAUUGAUGUUUUUUUGAUCCAUAUAUUUAUGAUUAAAAGAUUAAGUUACCUUAGGGAUAACAGCGUAAUUUUUUCGGAGAGUUCAUAUUGAUGAAGGAGUUUGCGACCUCGAUGUUGGAUUAAAAUAAGUUAUGGGUGCAGAAGCCCAUAUACUAGGUCUGUUCGACCUUUAAAUUUUUACAUGAUCUGAGUUCAGACCGGCGUAAGCCAGGUCAGUUUCUAUCCUCAAUUUAUAUAUAUAUUUUAGUACGAAAGGACCGGGUGUAUAAAAUAGUUUUUUGUUAUUUGAUUAAUAUU